rnacentral:rRNA from 1 species
AUGGGCGCAGCCUGAUCCAGCCAUGCCGCGUGAGUGAUGAAGGCCUUCGGGUUGUAAGCUCUUUCAUGCCGGGAAGAUAUCGUGUUCUCUAACAUAGGCCAUGGAUGACGGUACCGGACUAAUAAGCACCGGCUAACUACGUG